CGUAUUUUGUGAUCUUGAUUAAAAAAGUGAUGUUUUAUAUUUAAGAAUUAGGCAAUCAUGUGAUCUCAACCCGGGAACCAGCCUUACAAAGUUUGAAACUCGCAAAAUUUAAAGAAAAAAAAAUCAAAGUACUGUACUGAAAUGAACACAAAUGCCCCUAGUUUUUUUCUUAUAAAAAAUCAAUAUUUUUUGACAUCGCUUUGACAAAAUAUAAACCCGAAACCAUUUGUCAACUACAGAACUAGUCAAUAAUGUGGUCUCAACCCGGGAACCAGCCUUACAAUUUUUUUCCAAUAAACAAGCGAUAUUUUUUGACAUUUCCUAGCGGUGCCUCUGAGAGAAAGAAGGAAGUUAAGCUGGAUUAAUUGGGAAAAAACUUUAGGAAGUUGGGACUUAUAAGAUGAAGAUUCUUGAGAUGGGCAUUAUCCAAAUGUAACGUGUUUUGGAGAAAAAGUAAAGCAUAUU